CUUCUCUAAGCCUCAGUUUCUUUCCUAUUUAAAAUGAAGCAGCUUGAGUAGAUGUUCCUCAAAGUUCCUUUGAGCUCUGAAUCUUUGAGCCCAAGAACUGUGGAGGUUGAAAUGGGGAUACCACUAACCCUGUUAGAGAACAGAAUUGUCUAGCAAGUUCAAUCAAAGAAGCCUGGUGAGUUCAUUAUAGCAGAUGAACCUUCAGCCACCAGCCACCACUUGACACUAUUUAUAAGCCUAAUUACAUCCUGCAGGAGAAGCAAAUGUUGAUCAACCCAGGUACAAAUUAAAAUUAAUGAAAGGAAAAGACAACAAUGAAUGAUCAAUGCAAAUACGAAGGGACAGAGAAGUCUUCCAAUUAGCCUCUACAAGAGCCUAGGUGGGAAGGGGCUGAAUCAUUCAUUGUGUGUGCCCCAGCUGGUCUAACCUCCUAGCCACCGCUCAUGCAUUGCAGUCAUUAAAGAUUCUUCCAUGUAACCUUCCCCGGAAGAAAAGGCCUGUAGCUAGAUGUGUCCUUUCUCUAAUGGCCAAGGACUUUGUGAUUCGUCAGUCCAAGGGAAGCUCAGGAACAAGGGUGAAGUGUUUAUUCCCAAUCUCCUUCCCAGCCUCCCCUUGAACAUCCAUCACCACUUAGGUUUCUAUUAUUUUUAAAAAAUAAAAAUUUCAAUACUUUUCAUUUUUAUGAUAUUCCCUGAUAUAAAUUUUGCCCCAGGAGAUGAGAUCUAUGAACUUUCUUUCUUUCUUUUCUUUCUUUCUUUCUCUUCUUUCUUUCUUUCUUUCUUUCUUUCUUUCUUUCUUUCUUUCUUUCUUUCUUUCUUUCUUUCUUUCUUUCUUUCUUUCUUUCUUUCUUUCUUUCUUUCUUCUUCUUCUUCUUUUUCUUCUUCUUCUUCUUCUUCUUCUUCUUCUUCUUCUUUCUUCUUUCUUCUUCUCUCCUCUCUCUCUCUCUCUCUCUCUCUCUCUCUCUCUCUCUCUUUUCCCUUCCAUCUUAGAAUCAAUACAUAGCAUCAUCCCAAGGAAAUAGAGCAGUAAGGGCUAGGUAAUGGGGGGUUAAGUGACUUGCCCAGGGUCACAUGGCUAGGAAGUAUCUGAGGCCAUAUUUGAACCUGGGGCCUCCUAUCUCUAGGCCUGACUAUCUACUGAAUCAUCUAGCUGCCUCUGAAGUUAUUUUAAAUAUAUAUGCAUAUAUAUAAAAAAUUUAACCCUUACCU
rnacentral:lncRNA from 1 species